rnacentral:rRNA from 1 species
GACGAACGCUGGCGGCGUGCCUAAUACAUGCAAGUUGAGCGAUGAAGAUUGGUGCUUGCACCAAUUUGAAGAGCAGCGAACGGGUGAGUAACGCGUGGGGAAUCUGCCUUUGAGCGGGGGACAACAUUUGGAAACGAAUGCUAAUACCGCAUAACAACUUUAAACAUAAGUUUUAAGUUUGAAAGAUGCAAUUGCAUCACUCAAAGAUGAUCCCGCGUUGUAUUAGCUAGUUGGUGAGGUAAAGGCUCACCAAGGCGAUGAUACAUAGCCGACCUGAGAGGGUGAUCGGCCACAUUGGGACUGAGACACGGCCCAAACUCCUACGGGAGGCAGCAGUAGGGAAUCUUUGGCAAUGGACGAAAGUCUGACCGAGCAACGCCGCGUGAGUGAAGAAGGUUUUCGGAUCGUAAAACUCUGUUGGUAGAGAAGAACGUUGGUGAGAGUGGAAAGCUCAUCAAGUGACGGUAACUACCCAGAAAGGGACGGCUAACUACG